rnacentral:rRNA from 1 species
GCCUACGGGGGGCAGCAGUGGGGGAUAUUGCACAAUGGGGGAAACCCUGAUGCAGCGACGCCGCGUGGGUGAAGAAGCGCCUCGGCGCGUAAAGCCCUGUCAGCAGGGAAGAAAAUGACGGUACCUGAAGAAGAAGCCCCGGCUAACUACGUGCCAGCAGCCGCGGUAAUACGUAGGUGGCGAGCGUUGUCCGGAUUUACUGGGCGUAAAGGGAGCGUAGGCGGACUUUUAAGUGAGAUGUGAAAUACUCGGGCUCAACUUGAGUGCUGCAUUUCAAACUGGAAGUCUAGAGUGCAGGAGAGGAG